UUUUUUUUUUUUUUUUUUUUUUUGGAGAUAGCGUUGACAAAUAUAUGGGAUCCCGGCUUUUGAUCCCUGGCUGCGGCCUCUGUUCUCCUGUCGCUAAUAAAACUCGCAUUGAGCCCCUUAGUGCCUUGAUUAACAGGCAGAUUAACUCUUACUGGGGUUGGGAACAGCUUGUCCUAAUCAAUGUCAUUUUAAAAGCCCGUCAGGAUGCGCUUAGCUCCGGUUCCCUGGCUGCUCCAGCGAGCCAGCCAUGACAUUUGCUCCCUCCUCCUCCCCAGCCUCAAAUCCCCCAGUAAAGCUCCCAGUUCCCGCCUGCCUGUUCCCAGGUCCACAACGGGACAAAUCGCAGGACCGGGUCGUUGGCCUUUAGAACGGGUAGCGGUUUAGAGAGGGGAUAUCCAAGGAGAAGGGACUGAGGUGGCCUUGGCUUGCUUGCUUUUCCUUUGAAGCUGAACUCUUGCUUCUUGGGGGCAGAGGUCACAGGGAAAAGAGAGAUGAGGGGGAUCGUCUCAGGGUGAUGAAAUGGAAAGCAAACUUUCCUAGGAACCCUAUUUGCAAAAAUCGGAGAGUGCCGCUGAUUCCAAUUGUUCUACAGGUCAGGAGUUUUAAACCUAGCUCCUAUCUGGACAACAGCAUGGAGGGACUGGGAGGCAAAGCCUUGGGAGUCUGGCCCGCUGGGCUGCUAGGAAUCCCUUUGGUGGGAGACUCCACUGGACAAUGUUAUUUUAAAGGUAUUUCGGGGGUGGGCAGGGAGAAGACAGAGAGAGAGAGAGAGAGAAAGAGAGAGAGACAGUGAGAGAGAGACAGUGAGAGAGAGAGAGAGAGAGAGAGAGAGAGAGAGAGAGAGAGAGAGAGAGACUGGCCUCCCAGAGUGAAUGGAAGAGGACUGAGGACGGAACCCAGGGAGCCCCUAGCACUGGCCAUUUGGCAGGAGGCAAGGAAGGGCGAGGGCACAGCGGCUUCCACCGUAGCUGAGCAGUGGCCACAGCCUGGAGGCGCCACGGGGCGUCUCUGGGAUCUUCUUGGAUUUUCUAGGCUCUGGGAUCAGUGAAGCUGCCGGGUUAGCGGGAACCGGCAGGUUGCUGGAGAAAGGAGAGGGACAAAGGCCUGGAAGCGGGGGAGGCACCUGGGACUUGGCGGCCAGGGUGGGAGCCUUUGCUUUUAGUGCUCACUGGACCCGUUUGCCAGCUCCGCGGACCAGGGAUCCCACCUUCCCAGGGUCUGCAAAGAGAGAGACGUUUGGGGCACUACAAAGUGACGCAGGUGUCUGCCAAGACUUUCCUCCUCCAAAGAAAUGCCAGUCUUCACCCUUUCCAGCGCGCCGGCGCUGCGCCUCUGCUUGGCCGGGGAAAGAGAGAGUUCGGAGGUGUCAGAACUCCGGAUGGGAGACUCUUGGUUCUGAAGCUGGGAGCUGGAGGCACAUCCCCCCAGAAGUGGGCACUUCUUUGCCUCCCCAAAGGUCUGAUGGGGUGGGCACAGGGGAAUGCCAGAGACCAGUGCGGGUGAGAUGCUUGCCUGACCUUACGUUGACGCAUCAAUACUGGGUAGAAGCUCUGGGCAGGCUCUGGCGAGCCACAGUACCCCAGCGGGACUCCCUCCACGCAGACAGCCCCUCUACCGGGUGGGAAGACCCCGGCGGCCCCCGCAGGAACGCACCCUUCGGCCUGAGAGGUCCUCCCUCUGGCCACAGGGGGCGGAGGGUGGGGUGGGGGUUACAGGGGCAUGUGGAGAGGCGGGGAAAGGCGAGACAGUACCUAAAGCGCAAUCCCCUCCGCCCACCGCGCCUUGGAGGACAGCAAGUGGGCCUCCGGUGAGUUGGUAGCCGCAAUUAAAAUGGCGACCUGCGAGUUGUCUCGGUUUUGUACACACCUCUGGCGACCGCGUCCGCACCUCAAUCUCGACCCCCACACCCCCAGGCCGCGUCACCCCCGGAGCGGGUACUUGGCAGAAGGAGUGAGGCUACCCACGAAGCAGAACAGCACCCCCACCCUUCUUGAGACCAGUCCAGAGAGAACCAGGAAAUCUCGCUCUCAACCCUCUCUCCUUAAACUUUGAAAACUCGGCCUCUUUCUGGGGUUGAGCUCCCCUCCCCAAAUAUUGACACAUGGGAAGCGGCCAAGUCCUUUUUGUUUUUUGUUUGUGC
ensembl:lncRNA